rnacentral:rRNA from 1 species
UACGGAGGGGGCUAGCGUUGUUCGGAAUUACUGGGCGUAAAGCGCACGUAGGCGGCUUUGUAAGUUAGAGGUGAAAGCCCGGAGCUCAACUCCGGAAUUGCCUUUAAGACUGCAUCGCUAGAAUUGUGGAGAGGUAAGUGGAAUUCCGAGUGUAGAGGUGAAAUUCGUAGAUAUUCGGAAGAACACCAGUGGCGAAGGCGACUUACUGGACACAUAUUGACGCUGAGGUGCGAAAGCGUGGGGGAGCAAACAGG